CUCAGUUUUAUGAGUGACAAGUUGGACAAAUCACAGACACCUGGGUACUUCACCUUCUAAGAUUAGUGACCGCUCAGGCCCCAUCAGAUGCAAUCGUUACCAAUGCCUUUGACCCUGAGGCCCUGCUGUUGGAGGUCCUCCGUUCGACUAGACAACAUUCGUACCCUCCUAACUCAAUCCUGGGCUCAAGGCCUCAAUGACAGGGUCCCUCACUGGUGGUAACUGCCAUGUGACUGGCCGGCUGCCCGGAAUCCUGCUUUGUUUUCACUCUCAACACCUUUGCCAACUCGUCUCGGCCGUAAGCUCCCAGGAACCAUUCCUGACCAUCUGUGUAUAACCACCACCCUGUCCUGUCCAGCCCCGCCAUCCCUGCCAGCUCUCACUCCCACACUUUGUGCUAUGUGGGCACUUCGCAGUGAGUCCAAAGCCACUGGGGCAGGGUUAAGAGCAGAACCUAUGGCAGUGACUGACUAGUCAUCACCAGAUUGGCCCAGGGUCAAAUUUGGCGGCCUCUUCCUUAGCGGUCAGCUUAGCAGUGAAGGUCUGGCACAUGCUUCCAUAGCACAUGCUUCAAUAAGUGGCUAACGAAGAAAUGAAUAAAAGAGCUAUUUCAACAUA